CUGUUCGGAGCAACAAACAAAACGACCAAAUCCUUUUCCUCGAUUUUUCCAAAUACACACGACACAACAAACAUGUUUAUGUCUAUGUUCAGCCACUUGGAUAUCUCGCAAGGCAAGAAAUGGAGCUUCUCAUUUGGUUCGGGCCCGGUAAAGGAUUCAAAUCCAAAGUCCAAUGAAGAAGCAACUUCUUCAUCCAAAACCACCGUCAAAGAUCCGAAAACAUUAAUGCCCGGCGGAGAGAAUAAAAACCCGACCCGUUUGAGAACAAGAUAUGCACCGGAGUUUGAUGUAAACUGCUUUGAAUGCAUUGUACCUUCUGUCUGA